UACGUAGGGUGCAAGCGUUUAAUCAGAAUUACUGGGCGUAAAGCGUGCGCAGGCGGUUGUGCAAGACCGAUGUGAAAUCCCCCGGGCUUAACCUGGGAAUGGCAUUGGUGACUGCACGGCUAGAGUGUGUCAGAGGGGGGUAGAAUUCCACGUGUAGCAGUGAAAUGCGUAGAGAUGUGGAGGAAUACCGAUGGCGAAGGCAGCCCCCCUGGGAUAACACUGACGCUCAUGCACGAAAGCGUGGGGAGCAAACAGG
rnacentral:rRNA from 1 species